rnacentral:rRNA from 1 species
CUAUACUGUGAAACUGCGAAUGGCUCAUUAAAUCAGUUAUCGUUUAUUUGAUAGUACCUUACUACUUGGAUAACCGUGGUAAUUCUAGAGCUAAUACAUGCUAAAAACCCCGACUUCGGAAGGGGUGUAUUUAUUAGAUAAAAAACCAAUGCCCUUCGGGGCUCCUUGGUGAAUCAUGAUAACUUAACGAAUCGCAUGGCCUUGUGCCGGCGAUGGUUCAUUCAAAUUUCUGCCCUAUCAACUUUCGAUUGUAGGAUAGAGGCCUACAAUGGUUUCAACGGGUAACGGGGAAUUAGGGUUCUAUUCCGGAGAGGGAGCCUGAGAAACGGCUACCACAUCCAAGGAAGGCAGCAGGCGCGCAAAUUACCCAAUCCCGAUACGGGGAGGUAGUGACAAUAAAUACUGAUACAGGGCUCUUUUGGGUCUUGUAAUUGGAAUGAGUACAAUUUAAAUCUCUUAACGAGGAACAAUUGGAGGGCAAGUCUGGUGCCAGCAGCCGCGGUAAUUCCAGCUCCAAUAGCGUAUAUUAAAGUUGUUGCAGUUAAAAAGCUCGUAGUUGAACCUUGGGCCUGGCUGGCCGGUCUGCCUCACCGCAUGUACUGGUUCGGCCGGGUCUUUCCUCCUGGGGAUCCGCAUGCCCUUCACUGGGUGUGUUGGGGAACCAGGACUUUUACUUUGAAAAAAUUAGAGUGUUCAAAGCAGGCCUUUGCUCGAAUACAUUAGCAUGGAAUAAUAGAAUAGGACGUGCGGUCCUAUUUUGUUGGUUUCUAGGACCGCCGUAAUGAUUAAUAGGGAUAGUCGGGGGCAUCAGUAUUCAGUUGUCAGAGGUGAAAUUCUUGGAUUUACUGAAGACUAACUACUGCGAAAGCAUUUGCCAA